rnacentral:rRNA from 1 species
AGCAGCCGCGGUAAUUCCAGCUCCAAUAGCGUAUAUUAAAGUUGCUGCAGUUAAAAAGCUCGUAGUUGAAUUUCGGGAUCAAUUUACUGGUCGUGCCUACGGUACGUACUGGUUUUGUUGGUUCCUCCUUUCUGAGGAGCCGCGAUGUCAUUAACUUGGUGUCGCGGGGAAUCAGGACUGUUACUUUGAAAAAUUAGAGUGUUUAAAGCAGGCUAACGCUUGAAUACAUUAGCAUGGAAUAAUGAAAUAGGACGUUUGAUCCUAUUUUGUUGGUUUCUAGGGUCGACGUAAUGAUUAAUAGGGAUAGUUGGGGGCAUUAGUAUUCAAUUGUCAGAGGUGAAAUUCUUGGAUUUAUUGAAGACUAACUACUGCGAAAGCAUUUGCCAAGGAUGUUUUCAUUAAUCAAGAACGAAAGUUAGGGGAUCGAAGACGAUCAGAUACCGUCGUAGU